CCUCUCGACCUAUAUGAGAGGUCCAGCCUGCCCAGUGACUAAAUUCAACGGCCGCGGUAUCCUAACCGUGCGAAGGUAGCGUAAUCACUUGUUCUUUAAAUGAGGACUAGUAUGAAUGGCACCACGAGGGUUACACUGUCUCCUUUUUUUAAUCAAUGAAACUGAUCUUCCCGUGAAGAAGCGGGAAUGUAAAUAUAAGACGAGAAGACCCUAUGGAGCUUUAAACAAUAAUAGCACUGGCCCACACCUUUGAUUCUCCUGAGAGAUAAUUAUUAUUUAGACCAAUAUGACUAUUAGUUUUAGGUUGGGGUGACCGCGGAGCAAACACCAACCUCCACGUUGAAUGGAGCAACUCCUGAGCUAAAAGCUACAACUUUAAGCACCAAUAAACUGACAUUAAUUGACCCAACAUGUUGAACAACGAACCAAGUUACCCUAGGGAUAACAGCGCAAUCCAUUUCAAGAGCCCCUAUCGACAAAUGGGUUUACGACCUCGAUGUUGGAUCAGGGUAUCCCAGUGGUGCAGCCGCUACUAAAGGUUCGUUUGUUCAACGAUUGAAACCCU
rnacentral:rRNA from 1 species